GACGAACGCUGGCGGCGUGCCUAAUACAUGCAAGUAGAACGCACAGUUUAUACCGUAGCUUGCUACACCAUAGACGGUGAGUUGCGAACGGGUGAGUAACGCGUAGGUAACCUGCCUGGUAGCGGGGGAUAACUAUUGGAAACGAUAGCUAAUACCGCAUAAUAUUAAUUAUUGCAUGAUAAUUAAUUGAAGGGUGCAAUUGCACCACUACCAGAUGGACCUGCGUUGUAUUAGCUAGUAGGUGAGGUAACGGCUCACCUAGGCGACGAUACAUAGCCGACCUGAGAGGGUGAUCGGCCACACUGGGACUGAGACACGGCCCAGACUCCUACGGGAGGCAGCAGUAGGGAAUCUUCGGCAAUGGACGAAAGUCUGACCGAGCAACGCCGCGGGAGUGAAGAAGGUUGUCGGAUCGUAAAGCUCGGUUGUAAGAGAAGAACGGGUGUGAGAGUGGAAAGUUCACACUGUGACGGUAUCUUACCAGAAAGGGACGGCUAACUACGUG
rnacentral:rRNA from 1 species